AUCGCAACACACAACUCAGGUCUGCACCCAGGGAGCAUCACUGAUGACAAACCGAUGUGUCUCUAUGGCCUGAGCACACAACUACGAUUCAGCGUCCCCGUGAAAAGAAGAAAAUGCAAAUGGUGCAAAAAGAAUUUUUCUGUCCUACUUCGGACAGGAGAUGCCACAAAACGACUUUUUGGAUCUAUGAACUGUUCAUUUGAGGAUGACGUACUUCCAUUUCCAACGUUUCCACAAACUGGACGGUGCCCUGGAACUUGUGUAACAAAGUUUACACCUACUGCGAACCGACACAGGAUUUCAUCACCUGCACAGCCUGCAGGGGCCAAAAGAUGACUCCACACUGUAAAGUCUGGAAGGACAACCCAGACUGUGACAACCUGCUUCUGGAGAGGAGUUUCAACAUCACGCAUAAGAAAAAGAGGAGACAGGAAACAACACUGUGCAGCUCCAUAGUGCCAGGAGAUUAUGGCUCACGGAUGUUGGCAGACUGGUACUUCAUAUGCGGGAAUGAAGCGUACAUGUUUUUGCCAAAAAAAUUGGGGAGGACUGUGUGCUGUGGUGUCUCUAAUCAACCCGAUUGCGUUCAUCAGGAAAGCACAGAAUGAUCUACACACCCGCUCCAAACGAACAGAGGUCAAAAGAUGGGGAGGCCUCACAACACAUACUGGAGUUCCAUGGGAAUUCAGGAUUUGGAACGGCGGAGAAAAAUUCAUGCAAAGCCUGUUUUCGUGGAUUGGAGUAAGUGAGAUUCGGGACCACGUUGAGAUCAACAGAUAUGAAUUACUGCGACUCAUCAACAGUACACAGCCAAUGGCACCAUGAAAGAACUGACUGAACUGAGAAACAUGGUUAUGCAAAACCGUGUUGUCCUGGACUUUCUCACUGCCCCUCAGGGAGGGGUCUGCAAAAUCAUUGGCCCGACAUGCUGUACUUUUGUGCCUGAUGAAACAGGAACUGGAGGAACUAUUUCUGACGCUCUAUACGAGCUGGAAGAUUUAAAACAGUAUGUGGAGAGUGGAACACGCGGCUCAUCCUCUUUUGAUUUGCUUUCAUGGUUUACAUCUGGACCAUGGUGGGCUUUGCUGCUAAAGCUCGUGACACCUGUUCUGAUUGUUUUAGUUCUGUUCUGUCUUUUUACGGGUUGCAUUAUUCCUUGUCUACGACAUAUGAUGUUUAAAACAGUUAACACAACUGUUAUCAACUAUCAGCUGGCAAAGGCAUCUUAUGAGACAACUGAAGAAGACUUGUUCCAAGUUUCUGACGAUUUUCUGAACAAUGAUGAAGUUCUGUAAUCAAUAAACAGAUGAAUUCAUUUGCUGAAUGACUCCUACAACAAAAAAUGGGAAAACA